AUAUAUUUAACAUAUGGAAUUUAUGAAGGCAUACAAUAGAACUUGAAGAAUAUCUUACAUUAAAAGCAUGAAAAUAUGUUGAAGUUCGGAACCAUGAUGUAUGGAAAUGAAGACCCAUAGGCGCACGAUUGCUAAGGAUAAACACGUGUAGGACAGAGCUGAUCUGAUCCUGCACAUGCAUAUGGUAUCUUAUAAUCAAGAGUAUAAGGCCAUAUUGGUGUAUUUAAAAAUGGUACUACUAUGGAUGAAUCAUACACAAAUCCGAAUUCCAACAUCAUUAAAAAUUGACGGUUCCAUCCCACUUGCAAAAAAGCAGCAUAUUUGUUAAUAAUAUUUGCAAUACCAACCAUUUCGUCAAACCAAUCUUCAACAGUUGCAUUUCGCGACCACCAUUCUUCUGGUCCACGAUGACUAUAAAAUAUAAAAUUUUGUGACAGAGUCUAA